CUGGCCCUGGUCGGUGUCCGCGCUGUAGAAGUAUUUACAGGCAAGUGACUUGGCAUCUAGAAUGUGCUUCAAAAUACCCAGAAGAAAAAGUAUGAGAGAAGGGGGAUAGAGGAGACAAUGUCGGGCAGUCUGCAGCUGAUGUUGUUGAAAUCAGUGUCCCCAUCCCCCAACCCCUGGAGUCUCACCGUGAGGACCAUGGACCGGCGGCGGCAGAGUGCGGCACCCACACCAAAACUGGCUACCAUGAAGAAGGAGAAGCCGCAGAAGAUGGCAAUCCAGGCACCAGCGAAGACGUCAUCCUUGCCUGAGACUCCCAUCAGUGGGUAUACACGGUACUGGUCGGCUGUCACCCAUAUGGUCUCAGCAAACAGGGACAGGCCUGACAGCUGGACAGAGCGGUGGGUUAGGAAGGUCUGCUCGGGGCCAGCAGCCCUGGCACCAGGCAUCUCCACGAGCAAGUUCCCUCCCCAUUUGGAGCCUCCACUGCCCUCUCAGUAAAGUGGGCAAAGACCUCGCCUUCCAUGAGCAGCGAUGAGGGUGAGCAGAGGCCAGGAGAGAAGAGACAGCCCAGCCAGACAACCGACCCCCACGCCCCAGCUGCCAGUUUCUUCGGGGAUAAAAGGGGAUGCCACGUGGAAAGGCUGGAGCAGUGGACUGGCACAGAGGAGAUGCUUGGUCCAUCUGCCCUCCCUUGACAGUGCUGUUAUUCCCCGAGGAGGGGAACAUGGCCAUGGCCAUAAACAUUACAAAUGGGCCAGGCAAGGUGGCUCACACCUGCAGUCCCAGCAUUGUGGGAGGCCGAGGCGGGAGGAUUGCUUGAGCCCAGGAGUUUGAGACUAGCCUGGGCAAUAGUGAGACCCCGUCUCUACAAAAAAUAAAAAAAUUAGCUAGAUGUGGUGAUGUGCACCUGUAGUCCCAGCUACUUGGGAGGCUGAGGCAGGAGGAUCAGUUGAGCCCAGGAGUUGGAGGCUGCAGUGAGCAAGCAUCACACCACUGCACUGCAGCCUGGUCAACAGAGUGAGACCCUGUCUCUAAAACAAACACACGGCCAGUCGCGGUGGCUUACACCUGUAAUCCCAACACUUUGGGAGGCUGAGGUGGGCAGAUCACCUCAGGUCAGGAGUUCAAGACCAGCCUGGCCAACAUGGUGAAACCCCAUCUCUUCUAAAAAUACAAAAAGUAGCCGGGUGUGGUAGCAUGUGCCUGUAAUCCCAGCUGCUCGGGAAGCUGAGGCAGGAGAAUUGCUGGAGCCCAGGAGGUGGAGGAUGCAGUGAGCCGAGAUCUCGCCACUGCACUUCAGCCUGGGUGACAAAGGGAGAAUCUGUCUGAAAAAAAAAAAAUUAGCCGGGCGUGGUGGUGUGCGCCUGUAAUCCCAGCUAUUCUGGAGGCUGAGGCAGGAGAAUCACUUGAGCCCGGGAGUUAGAGGUUGCAGUUAGCUGAGAUCAGCCACUGCACUCCAGCCUGGGCAACAGAGUGAGACUCCGUCUCAAAAACAAAACAAAACAAAACAAAACAAAACAAAACAAAACAAAAAACACAAAACCAAAACCCAAUGUUAAUUGAAAGACACUGUUGUUUUUCCUUCUUGUGGCCUCCUGUGCACCAGGCUGUCACUUUAUAUCCAUAGUGAUGCUGAUGGUGAUAGCCAGCAUUGGUCGGGCACUUUCUCUGAGCUGAGGGCCACACAUGGAUUAAUCCACAUGACAACAGCCCACACAAUGAGGACACAGUCUAUAGAUGAGGAAAGAAGGCACAGAGAGGGACAGUCGCUUGCUAAGGUCACAGAGCUGGGGAGAGGCAGAGCUGGGAUUUCAACCCAGGCUGUGCUGACCACUGAGUCUGCCCGAGAGACAGUUCUGGACCCUCAUCCCCCACCCCGAGCUCAGGACUGUCCCCUCCCCACCACACAACCACUCGGCUCCCAGCACUGGGGCGAGUCUCACCAGAAUAAUGAUAUUGCCCACAACUAGCAGGCCCACCACAACUGGAGAUCCCUUCUCGGCCUCCGCUGCUGCCGCAGACGCCAUCAUCCUGGGACACAUGAGCAGGGAUGAGGCCAGGAGCGUAAAGGGCCAGCCGGACCCCCCAUCUCUGAGCCACACCCUGGCUUCGAGGGGUUGCUCCAGCUCUCUGCGGGGCCCAGGCUGGUACUGAUGUACCCACAGCCCUGGUGGGGAGGCAUUUUGCACAAGAGGACACCCGGGCUCCGGUGGGGCAGUCACUGGCCUGAACUUGGCACUGCCCCUCCCUGAGCCUCAGACCCCUCAUGCCAUACCCAGACUCCCAGGGCCCCCUCCUCACCUUCUCUGUCUGCAGCCUCUCUGGCCAGCCCCACCCACCGUGGCUCCCUAUAUACGCCCAGGCCCCUCCUUGGGCUAGUCUCCCAG
rnacentral:lncRNA from 1 species